rnacentral:lncRNA from 1 species
UGCGCCGCCGCUGCCAACCCGGAAGGAGCCCGGAGGGGCCCGGGCGGCCAGGGCGCCCCCGCCAGGAGGCCCGCCAGGUGUCCACCUGAGCCCCACGCCCUGCGCCGCGGGGCCCUUUUGGGGGCGGGGUGCCAGCUCCGAGGUGUCCUCCCACGGGCUGUAGACUGGGAAACUGAGGCCCGGGCCACGGUCCCAGACGCAGCCGGGACCCGAACCCACCUCACCUGAGCGAAUGAUAUCCGGGACUCAUCCUUUUUCGACACCUUUGCGGGAUCCAGCCCUCCAAGGAAAGCUUCCUGAGCAGUGCGCGCCACGUGUAUUGGGCACCUCACCGCGGCCACUUCACAUCCUAUCUCAGGUGGAGAAACUAAGCCACAGAAAGGAGCUGUCAUUUACCUAAAGCACCGUGGCAGGGGUUUGGCAGAGCCAGGAUUUGUACCCAGAUCGCCUGACUUCGGAGAGUAACAGCUCUUAACCACAGCACUUCGGUCUAUGCCUUGAUUUCACCAUAUGUAACAAGCUGUGCCACUUUGCAUUCCCACCAGCAGCACGCAAGCGUUCGAAUUUCUCCGCACGCUCCCCAACAGGUCUCGCUCAUCACCAGGCUGGAGUACAGUGACAUGA